rnacentral:lncRNA from 1 species
GUCCCAAAUAGGAGCAGUCCUGGGCCGCUAUCCUGUGAGGGUGGAGACGCUCCCCGAGACUGGACAGACACCGAGAGGUGGAGCUGAGCUAAUACGAGGCCAAGGGAAUCCCAGGUAUUCCAGUUAUCCUGAACUCACCAUAUAGAAGAGGAUGACCCUGAGCUUCUGAUACUCCAUCUCUUACUAGGAUUCCAGGAUCCCUUUCAAGGCUUCUACCAGGAGCAACUGCCCACAGUUCUGCCUUAAGAAUGCCUGAGAGACCUGGCAUCAGAGCCUGCCCCCCAAAUCAUCACUCACUCUGCCAGGCACACCAGGUCUUCCUCCCUUUACUCGCCGCACCCAAGAAAUCAAAACCCAAACUGAGAAUACUAGAAAGCAUCACCGUACAGCACGGAAAGAAAUAAUGAAAACAAAUCAACAGCCACACACUUGGACUCACCCAAGACCCAGGAGCCAGGAGUGUGGGUGAUUGUCAAGUUUGGGGACGGGUCAGCUCUUGGCUGGCCCAUCCCUCCAUUCUUCCCUCUUUCUGGGACUUGAAUGGGGUAGAGAAUUGAGAAUCUCCUUGGGAAUCUCAGCCCUCCUACCCCAUUACAUCCCAUCCCUUCUGCUUAUGUAGAGGCAAACAGGGUGGAACAAGGAGCUCCCAGCCUCUAGGAGAGCCUACAUCCCACAGGGGUUCCAGGGAGUUAGGUAAAAAAGAGAGAGAGAGAGAUUUUUAGAUACUUUCCCAUCAUUUCUGUCUCUCCAAACAAAUAAAUAACAAGCAAGAGAA